rnacentral:rRNA from 1 species
GACGAACGCUGGCGGCGUGCUUAACACAUGCAAGUCGAACGGUGAAGGGACCGGUUUUUGCUGGUUCUGGAUGAGUGGCGAACGGGUGAGUAACACGUGAGUAACCUGCCCCCUUCUUCUGGAUAACCGCAUGAAAGUGUGGCUAAUACGGGAUAUUCUGCGCCUGCUGCAUGGUGGGUGUGGGAAAGAUAUUGUUUCGGUGGGGGAUGGGCUCGCGGCCUAUCAGCUUGUUGGUGGGGUGAUGGCCUACCAAGGCGGUGACGGGUAGCCGGCCUGAGAGGGUAGACGGUCAAAGUGGGAAUGAAACACGGCCCAGACAACAACGGGAGGAAGCAGAGGGGAAUAUUGCACAAUGGGCGCAAGGCUGAUGCAGCGACGCCGCGUGAGGGAAGGAAGACUACGGGUUGUAACCCUCUUUCGCGAGUGAAGAAGGCCUGUCCCUUUUGUGGGUGGGUUGACGGUAGCUGGAUAAGAAGCGCCGGCUAACUACGUG